rnacentral:hammerhead_ribozyme from 1 species
AUCUGACGAGUCUCAAAUAGGACGAAACGCGUGUCCUAGAU